GAUGAACGCUGGCGGCGUGCCUAAUACAUGCAAGUCGAGCGAACGGACGAGAAGCUUUCUUCUCUGAUGUUAGCGGCGGACGGGUGAGUAACACGUGGAUAACCUACCUAUAAGACUGGGAUAACUUCGGGAAACCGGAGCUAACACCGGAUAAUAUUUUGAACCGCAUGGUUCAUAAGUGAAAGACGGUCUUGCUGUCCCUUAUAGAUGGUUCCUGGCUGCAUUAGCUAGUUGGUAAGGUAACGGCUUACCAAGGCAACGAUGCGUAGCUGACCUGAGAGGAUGAUCAGCCACACUGGAACUGAGACACGGUCCAGACUCCUACGGGAGGCAGCAGUAGGGAAUCUUCCGCAAUGGGCGAAAGCCUGACGGAGCAACGCCGCGUGAGUGAUGAAGGUCUUCGGAUCGUAAAACUCUGUUAUUAGGGAAGAACAUAUGUAUAAGUAACUGUGCACAUCUUGACGGUACCUAAUCAGAAAGCCACGGCUAACUACGUG
rnacentral:rRNA from 1 species